AUUGGUAAAGAAUUUCCCAAGGAUUUGUAUUGUUCCUGCAGAUAAGGAGCAAAGGAUUGUUUCUGUUGUGAUGUUCAUUCACAGAGUGCCUGACACAAUGCCAAAAAAAAGUUCUUGCUUAAGAUUAAUAACCCCUGAAGACUCUUCACUCUGAGCCCAUCAAAUGACUAUAAGUCUUAUAUAGCAAUGGGGGUCAAAAGCUUGCUGCCUACCUGUCUUCCACAUCUGAAAAGUUAGGCUUCUGAACUCAAAAUCAAAUACAAAGAAACCAGUGAACACUGACAAUAUAAAAUUGGCAGGAUGUGCAGAUACUGGAAAAUUUCAUCCAUCUUUUUUUCUUUGUAGGGAUGCCAACAAAGUUUACAGAUUCAUAGAAGAGCAGGCAAGUUGGCGUUCGGAGGCCCUGGACCUUAAAUCGCCUGACGACUGAUUUCGGACUGAGGCAAGAGGAACACAGGAUCGGACUGGAUCUGGAACCGGGUAAGUUGGUGACUCUGGAUAUGCAGGAUACCAGACAGAUACGUUCAAUUAGAGGGUAUACGCCCUCCUUGACAAUGCUGGUCUCUUGCCGCACAAAGGAACCGCACUCGACUGCUUCCCAGAUGGACAGCGACAGCUAACAGUUGUGGAAUCCUUUUUGAAAGCACCAGAUUGCCAAAGUUCCACAGCGA
rnacentral:lncRNA from 1 species